UACGUAGGGACCAAGCGUUGUUCGGAUUUACUGGGCGUAAAGGGCGCGUAGGCGGCAUGUUAAGUCAGCUGUGAAAUCUCCGAGCUUAACUCGGAACUGUCAGCUGAUACUGAUGUGCUAGAGUGCAGAAGGGGCAAUCGGAAUUCUUGGUGUAGCGGUGAAAUGCGUAGAUAUCAAGAGGAACGCCUGAGGUGAAGACGGGUUGCUGGGCUGACACUGACGCUGAUGCGCGAAAGCCAGGGGAGCAAACGGG
rnacentral:rRNA from 1 species